UGAAAACUAUUUCACUUCCUGUUAUUCGAUGACACGCCACAUUCUUUAAGGAAGUGACUCUCUUACUCCAUCUUGUGUUCCUUAUAUAUAUGUCAAUGCUUGUGUUACACACAUGGUUCAACUUCAGCUUCAUAAGUUAUUUCUCUACAAACUGACGGGUCAGGCCCUAGAAGACUGUAUGAUAUAGGUCCGACCAGACAAAUGGACCCGAAGGCAGCUGUCGCCAUUGGAGUGGGAGCAGGAGCAGGAGUAGUUGCUGCGGUCGGGGUUCCUGUUGUUCUGGGAGCCAUAGGUUUCACCUCAGCUGGAAUAGCAGCAGGCUCCUUUGCUGCCAGCAUGAUGUCGACAGCUGCAGUUGCUAACGGAUGAGGAGUGGCAGCAGGAAGCAUACCUGUCAAGUAUCCCGUUUUGGCCGGGAAAGUCCCGUAUUUUACCCUUCUUUCCCGCCGUCCUCCCGUAUUAGUAUUUUCCCGUAAAUCUCCCGUAUUUUAACCUGCGUUAUUAAA